UUAGGUAGCAAUAAACAGUUAGGAAAAAAUAUUAAAAUUUGCCCUUAUAGAUUUUACCAUCCCCUUUUCAUUGCUUUCUUGCAAUAUCAAGCUUACUGUUUGUGUCAUAUAUGUGCAUAUGUAUGUAAUCAGAAUCUUCCAUAGAUUUUAUAUCCAGUAUAUAAAAUGGUAAAAUAUAAUUUCUUUUGGGUGUAUCCAUGGCAACAAUCUGCAUUUAUUUGUUAUAAAAUAUUGCAAAAAGGGGGGGGGGGAAAGAUGUCACAUAUUUCCCCAAAAUUUGGCUAAAAGUAGAAUUUCAAUCGCUUGAAGUAAUACCUUUUCUGAAACUGUGUACAUACAUCAUUCAGCAAAUCCAAUGGAAAUCAUAUGUCUUUCGUCUCAUUUUUUUGUAAAAUUGCGUCAAAAAGUUCG
rnacentral:lncRNA from 1 species